CUUCAGUUCCCUGUGGUUCAAUUGUUCAAUUGCUCAGUAACCAGUAAUUGUUCAUCUUUUUCCCUAGCGGACAUCUAAGGCCUUCUACCCAGUAACUGGUAGUUGUAAGUCCUACUUCUGUGGUUUUCUACCCAAAAGCCGGUAGAUGCAAUCCCCUCGUUGUUGGUUAUCUUUACCCAGUAUCCGGUAUUGCUACUCCUUCAUUU
rnacentral:lncRNA from 1 species